rnacentral:rRNA from 1 species
AUGAGCGAGAAGAGAACACACCAUUUCGCUUCGGAAAAGGAAGCGGAUGCACCGUGCAUCCUGCUCGCAAUAAGAAACGGCAUUGCGCCUAUGGACCCAAAAAGUUCCUCAAGACCUUCUACGGAUAAAACUGUUACAGAACCAUAUCAGGCGACCUCGCUUUCUUUCUACUGUUGUUACACCCGCGUUACAGCGAACAGGUUAAAGUCAUUCCGCCGAGGUCACACCUUGACGAACAGGCGGGGGACACUAGGAACUACAAGCAGAAUAAAACAACCACGAGAAAGUUCUCAAAAUACACUAUGGUGUAUGCACUUUUUCUCUAUGCUUACCAAGGGGUCAAUAAAUCGCCAGCAAACCGGACCGGAAGGGUUUGUUUGCUACGCGGUGGCGUCCUUGGCUUCUGUCGCGGGAGGUGUGACGUCCAUUUUAUCGACCUUGGCAUCUGCUGCUGGAGGUGUCACGUCCAUUUUAUCGACCUUGGCAUCUGCUGCUGGAGGCGUCACGUCCAUUUUGUCGACGUUUUCCUCGGCGGCGCUUUCGUACUCCGACAGCAGGUCCAUGAACUCGUUGAGCAGCCGCUGGACUUUGCGGUUUGUCGCCAUCGAAGGAAGUAUGUCUUCCCUGAGAAGUUUAUGUUUCUUCAUUCCCUGCAAAAGUAACCACCAGCAAAGUUUAUCAAUCGAAGAGCGCAACUGA